UACGUAGGGUCCAAGCGUUGUUCGGAUUUACUGGGCGUAAAGGGCGCGUAGGCGGCGUGUCAAGUCAGCUGUGAAAUCUCCGAGCUUAACUCGGAACGGUCAGCUGAUACUGUCAUGCUAGAGUACAGAAGGGGCAAUCGGAAUUCUUGGUGUAGCGGUGAAAUGCGUAGAUAUCAAGAGGAACACCUGAGGUGAAGGCAGGUUGCUGGGCUGAUACUGACGCUGAGGCGCGAAAGCUAGGGUAGCAAACGGG
rnacentral:rRNA from 1 species